rnacentral:rRNA from 1 species
AACGUAGGAGACAAACGUUAUCCGGAGUUACUGGGCGUAAAGGGCGUGUAGGCGGUUUGUUAAGUCUGGCGUGAAAGCUCUCGGCUAAACCGGGAGAGGUCGUUGGAUACUGGCAAACUAGAGGACGGUAGAGGCGUGUGGAAUUCCGGGUGUAGUGGUGAAAUGCGUAGAGAUCCGGAGGAACACCAGUGGCGAAGGCGACACGCUGGGCCGGUACUGACGCUGAGACGCGAAAGCGUGGGGAGCGAACAGG